UACAGAGGUCCCAAGCGUUGUUCGGAUUCACUGGGCGUAAAGGGUGCGUAGGCGGUGAGGUAAGUCGGAUGUGAAAUCUCCGAGCUCAACUCGGAAAUGGCAUUGGAAACUACCUUGCUAGAGGGUUGGAGGGGGGACUGGAAUACUUGGUGUAGCAGUGAAAUGCGUAGAUAUCAAGUGGAACACCAGUGGCGAAGGCGAGUCCCUGGACAACUCCUGACACUGAGGCACGAAAGCUAGGGGAGCAAACAGG
rnacentral:rRNA from 1 species